CAUAGGUAAGUGAGGCAAACCGGGAGAACUGAAACAUCUAAGUACCCCGAGGAAAAGAAAUCAACCGAGAUUUCGUUAGUAGCGGCGAGCGAACGCGAAGGAGCCUGUUAGUGAUAAUGACAGAGACAGAGGAACAAGCUGGGAAGCUUGGCGAUACAGGGUGAUAGCCCCGUACUCGAAGUCCAGGUCAUGGUACUAAGCUAACGACAAGUAGGGCGGGACACGUGAUAUCCUGUUUGAAGAUGGGGGGACCAUCCUCCAAGGCUAAAUACUCCUGAUUGACCGAUAGUGAACCAGUACUGUGAAGGAAAGGCGAAAAGAACCCCGGUGAGGGGAGUGAAAUAGAACCUGAAACCUUGUACGUACAAGCAGUGGGAGCCCUUUAAGGGUGACUGCGUACCUUUUGUAUAAUGGGUCAGCGACUUAUAUUUUGUAGCGAGGUUAACCGAAUAGGGGAGCCGAAGGGAAACCGAGUCUUAACUGGGCGUCUAGUUGCAAGGUAUAGACCCGAAACCCGGUGAUCUAGCCAUGGGCAGGUUGAAGGUUGGGUAACACUAACUGGAGGACCGAACCGACUAAUGUUGAAAAAUUAGCGGAUGACUUGUGGCUGGGGGGGAAAGGCCAAUCAAACCGGGAGAUAGCUGGUUCUCCCCGAAAUCUAUUUAGGUAGAGCCUUGAGCGGACACCUUCGGGGGUAGAGCACUGUUUCGGCUAGGGGUCCAUCCCGGAUUACCAACCCGAUGCAAACUACGAAUACCGAAGAGUGAUACUCAGGAGACACACGGCGGGUGCUAACGUCCGUCGUGGAGAGGGAAACAACCCAGACCGCCAGCUAAGGUCCCAAAGUCUAUAUUAAGUGGGAAACGAAGUGGGAAGGCUUAGACAGCUAGGAUGUUGGCUUAGAAGCAGCCAUCAUUUAAAGAAAGCGUAAUAGCUCACUAGUCGAGUCGGCCUGCGCGGAAGAUGUAACGGGGCUCAAAUAUAGCACCGAAGCUGCGGCAUCAGACGAAAGUCUGUUGGGUAGGGGAGCGUUCUGUAAGCGGAUGAAGGUGGCUCGAGAGGGCUGCUGGACGUAUCAGAAGUGCGAAUGCUGACAUAAGUAACGAUAAAACGGGUGAAAAACCCGUUCGCCGGAAGACCAAGGGUUCCUGUCCAACGUUAAUCGGGGCAGGGUGAGUCGGCCCCUAAGGCGAGGCUGAAAAGCGUAGUCGAUGGGAAACGGGUUAAUAUUCCCGUACUUGGAUAAACUGCGAUGUGGGGACGGAGCAGGUUAGGUUAUCGCACUGUUGGAUAUGUGCGUUUAAGUUUGUAGGUGGGAAGUUUAGGCAAAUCCGGACUUCUUUAACACUGAGAGAUGAUGACGAGGCUCUACGGAGCUGAAGUAACCGAUACCACACUUCCAGGAAAAGCCACUAAGCUUCAGGUUUAUCUAAACCGUACUGAAAACCGACACAGGUGGUCAGGUAGAGAAUACUCAGGCGCUUGAGAGAACUCGGGUGAAGGAACUAGGCAAAAUAGCACCGUAACUUCGGGAGAAGGUGCGCCGGCGUAGAUUGUAGUCCCUAGCGGGCGAAGGUUGAACCGGUCGAAGAUACCAGCUGGCUGCAACUGUUUAUUAAAAACACAGCACUCUGCAAACACGAAAGUGGACGUAUAGGGUGUGAUGCCUGCCCGGUGCUGGAAGGUUAAUUGAUGGUGUAAUCGAAAGAGAAGCUCCUGAUCGAAGCCCCAGUAAACGGCGGCCGUAACUAUAACGGUCCUAAGGUAGCGAAAUUCCUUGUCGGGUAAGUUCCGACCUGCACGAAUGGCGUAAUGAUGGCCAGGCUGUCUCCACCCGAGACUCAGUGAAAUUGAAAUCGCCGUGAAGAUGCGGUGUACCCGCGGCUAGACGGAAAGACCCCGUGAACCUUUACUAUAGCUUGACACUGAACAUUGAAUUUUGAUGUGUAGGAUAGGUGGGAGACUUUGAAGCAGUCACGCCAGUGAUUGUGGAGUCGUCCUUGAAAUACCACCCUUUAACGUUUGAUGUUCUAACGAAGAUUACGAAACGUGGUCUCGGACAGUGUCUGGUGGGUAGUUUGACUGGGGCGGUCUCCUCCCAAAGAGUAACGGAGGAGCACGAAGGUUUGCUAAUGACGGUCGGACAUCGUCAGGUUAGUGCAAUGGUAUAAGCAAGCUUAACUGCGAGACAGACAAGUCGAGCAGGUACGAAAGUAGGUCAUAGUGAUCCGGUGGUUCUGAAUGGAAGGGCCAUCGCUCAACGGAUAAAAGGUACUCCGGGGAUAACAGGCUGAUACCGCCCAAGAGUUCAUAUCGACGGCGGUGUUUGGCAC
rnacentral:rRNA from 1 species